GAAGAAAAGAUUAAUAAUUUAAUGAGUAAUAAAAAUAAUUUUAAUAUUAAAUAUAUUUUAAAUAGGGGGUUAAAGUAUAAAUAAUAGAAAAAAUUAAAAAAUUUAUAGAAAAUUAGUAUUGUAAAAGAAUUUUUAAAUAAUUAUGAAAAUUAAAUGUUUGGGAAGUAAAUUUUAUUUAUUGUAUCUUGUGUAUCAGAGUUUAUUAAUAAUGAGUUUUAUAAAAAAAAAUCUCGAAUUUAAAAGAGUUAAUUAAUUAAUAAAUUUAUUGUUGAAAAAAUAUUUUUAAUAGUUAAUUUGCAAUGAAAUGUUAUUCGUUUUUAAAUAUAUCUAGUUUUUUUAGAAAUAAAUUUAAUUUAUAAUUUUUAUAAAAUAAAAAUAAGAAUUUAAAAAUUAUUUUUAAAUAAAAAUUAAAUAUUUUAAGGGAUAAGCUUUAAAUUAAAAUUUUAUAAUUAAUAAAUUAAAAAUAAAUUAAGAUUUUUAAAAUUUAUAUUGUUUAUAAAUUAUAUUUUUUUAUAAAAAAUUUUAAUAAAAAUAAAAUUUUUAAAUAAAUUUAAUUUUUUAUAAAAAAAUAAUUUUUAAUAAAAAAAAAUUAGUAAUAAUGAUAAAAUUAGUAUAAUAUGUUAUAAAUUUAAUAAAAUAAUUAUUAAAAAUUAAUUAAAAGGAAUUCGGCAAAAUUAUAUAUUCACCUGUUUAACAAAAACAUGUCUUUUAGAAAAUAAUAUAAAGUCAAAUCUGCCCACUGAUAAAAAUUAAAGGGCUGCAGUAUAUUGACUGUACAAAGGUAGCAUAAUCAAUAGUCUUUUAAUUGAAGACUUGUAUGAAAGAUUUAAUGAAAUAUAAACUGUCUCUUAUUUAUAAUUAGAAAUUAAUUUUUUAGUAAAAAAGCUAAAAUAAGUUUAAAAGACGAGAAGACCCUAUAGAGUUUUAUUAUUAAAUAAUUUUUUAAUUCUUAUUUUAAUAAAUUAAAUAAAAAAUUAUUUAAUAAUUUUAUUGGGGUGAUAAAAAAAUUUAAUAAACUUUUUUUAAUAUAAAACAUUAAUUAAUGAUUAAUUGAUCCAUAAUUUAUGAUUAAAAGAAAAAAUUACCUUAGGGAUAACAGCGUAAUUUUUUCUUUUAGUUCAAAUAGGAGAAAAAGUUUGCGACCUCGAUGUUGGAUUAAGAUAAAAUUUAAAUGCAGAAGUUUAAAAUUUUGAUCUGUUCGAUCAUUAAAAUCUUACAUGAUCUGAGUUCAAACCGGUGUAAGCCAGGUUGGUUUCUAUCUUUAAAUAAUUAAAAUAUUUUAGUACGAAAGGAUUAAAUAUUUAAAAUAAAUUUUAUAUAAAGAGAAUUUUAUUAAUUAUAUGUAUAUAAU
rnacentral:rRNA from 1 species